GACGAACGCUGGCGGCGUGCUUAACACAUGCAAGUCGAACGGUGAAGCGCCUUCCUUUUUGGUGGGUGUGGAUGAGUGGCGAACGGGUGAGUAACACGUGAGUAACCUGCCCCCUUCUUCUGGAUAACCGCAUGAAAGUGUGGCUAAUACGGGAUAUUCUGGGUCUGUCGCAUGAUGGGUCUGGGAAAGAUAUUGUUUCGGUGGGGGAUGGGCUCGCGGCCUAUCAGCUUGUUGGUGGGGUGAUGGCCUACCAAGGCGGUGACGGGUAGCCGGCCGGGGAGGGGGGGCGGCCACCUGGGGACGGGGAACGGGCCCAAGCCCCUAGGGGGGGGGGCAGGGGGGAAAUUGGAGGAAGGGGGGGAGACCUGAGGCAGCGGGGCCGCGGGGGGAUGGGGGGCCUUCGGGUUGGGAACCUCUUUCCCCGGGGAGGAAGGCCUGCCUCUUUUGGGGGGGGUGUGCGGGAAGCUGGAAAGAAAGCCCCGGUAAAAUAGGU
rnacentral:rRNA from 1 species